AUUUUACAGUCACAUUUUCAAGGAAGCCUCUGGAAAAGAUUUUUACAUAAAUUUUCACAGCCACUCAAUUGUGAUCUACUUUUUUACUGUUUAUCUUAUGACUAAAGAGACUAUUCAUACCUUGCCAGGUUGUACUUUAGCUGCUGAUUCUGUUUAUACUUAACUGAAUUUGUUUCCAUUCAAAUUUCUUGAUAAACACAGGAGCUUAAAAUUAAUUCCUAUGCUAGGAUAAGAUCUAUUCAGAAAGUUUGUCUCAAGAGUGAAAUGGUCUUAUAAGAUGACCCUUUGGAUACUAAAAUAUUAGCCUCUCUUAGUGUCUAAGACUGUCCUUAUGAGUAAUAUUACCAAUGUUCACCAAUAUUUUCCAUUCUCUUCCCUUUUCUGGAUAUGUAAAAGAUUAUAUUUCUUAGUUCUACUGAUAGACAAUGGCCAGAGCUGCUGUGUCACUUCCAGUGCAUGACUCACCAUGCUGUCGAAUGAACCAUCAAAAUGAUAUGGAGAUAUCAGAAGAAGAAAGUGAUCUUGAAUGUUUAGCCACUACAUGAAGGGCUGCCCUGGAGAAAUUCCUAGACUCUUAGCAGAUUUGCCUGAAAUUGUCCAAAUUUCUAUAAUUGAUCUACUCUAUAAUUGGAAUGAAGGAUAUGAAUUCUUUUUGAAUAAGGGAAUACAACGACACUAACAUCUGCUGAUUACCUACCAUGAGCUGGGUUGUGAACUAGUGGUUAAACUUACACAACUCUGUAAAACUGAUACCACAAUUGAGAAGAAAUGUUUCCCUCUGAAGACUGUAAUUUCCCCUGGAGAGUCUCAUUAGCUAGAAGCAGAUGUAAGUACCUGCAACAAGUGCAAAAUGCUGAACAUAAGUAAAAUGGGACAUGGAUCUUUAUCAAUUGACUUAAAAGGAAACUAGGCAAACGAUACAGGGGUACACAGGAAAACUAUGCUGAUAGACUCAAGAAAAAACAGAUGACAAAGAACACAAUGGCCUCCUGCAGCAGUCCGAGGUGACAACCUGAAGAAUGGUCAAGGAAAGGCAUUCCAAGUUCAGGAACUGGCUGAAUGGAAUCAGGGAAAGUGGACUAUGCCAGAUCUGGAAUAAGGUAUGGAAUCUUGCAUUGGGCUGUGAUUUAAGCCUUCUCUGUGGUACAGAAUAGCAAAGUUCAAUGAGACGGUAUUUAUCAAGUGUUAAAGAUGAAAAAGAGAAGAAAAACUAAGAAAUACAGGAACGAGUAGUAACUUCAAUAUCUGACUUAAGAAAGAACUCUUGUUCCCUCUUGAAGACAGUCGUACUGAAUCUAACACAGUAAGAUUGUCUGUACAGUAAGAGUGCCGAAUGGAUGAGCUAUCUGCAGAACUGAAAAGAGCUGAGGUCUGAGUGAUGGGUGGUCCCUAGAGUGGUAAGGCUAGGAUGAGAAAGACAAUCUCCUGUGGGAGAGUAAGAAUAAGAAUCAUUGGGGCACCUGGGUGGUUCAGUUGGUUGGGCGUCUGCCUUCGGCUCAGGUCAUGAUCCCAGGGUCCUGGGACUGAGCCCAACAGGCUCCUGCUCAGCCCGGAGGCUGCUUCUCCCUCUGUCUGCUGUCCCCACCCCCACUGCUUGUGCGCACUCUCUCUCUGACAAAUAAAUAAAUAAAAUCUUAAAAAAAAAAAAAGGAA
ensembl:lncRNA